GACGAACGCUGGCGGCGUGCUUAACACAUGCUAGUCGAACGGAAAGGCCCUGCUUUUGUGGGGUGCUCGAGUGGCGAACGGGUGAGUAACACGUGAGUAACCUGCCCUUGACUUUGGGAUAACUUCAGGAAACUGGGGCUAAUACCGGAUAGGAGCUCCUGCUGCAUGGUGGGGGUUGGAAAGUUUCGGCGGUUGGGGAUGGACUCGCGGCUUAUCAGCUUGUUGGUGGGGUAGUGGCUUACCAAGGCUUUGACGGGUAGCCGGCCUGAGAGGGUGACCGGCCACAUUGGGACUGAGAUACGGCCCAGACUCCUACGGGCGGCAGCAGUGGGGAAUAUUGCACAAUGGGCGGAAGCCUGAUGCAGCAACGCCGCGUGCGGGAUGACGGCCUUCGGGUUGUAAACCGCUUUCGCCUGUGACGAAGCGUGAGUGACGGUAAUGGGUAAAGAAGCACCGGCUAACUACGUG
rnacentral:rRNA from 1 species